UACGAAGGGGGCUAGCGUUGCUCGGAAUUACUGGGCGUAAAGGGCUCGUAGGCGGCCAACUAAGUCAGACGUGAAAUCCCUAGGCUCAACCUAGGAACUGCGUCUGAUACUGGAUGGCUUGAAUCCGGGAGAGGGAUGCAGAAUUCCAGGUGUAGCGGUGAAAUGCGUAGAUAUCUGGAGGAAUACCGGUGGCGAAGGCGGCAUCCUGGACCGGCAUUGACGCUGAGGAGCGAAAGCCAGGGGAGCAAACGGG
rnacentral:rRNA from 1 species